rnacentral:rRNA from 1 species
UGCGUAGGGUGCAAGCGUUGUCCGGAAUUAUUGGGCGUAAAGAGCUCGUAGGCGGUUUGUCGCGUCUGCUGUGAAGACUCGGGGCUUAACUCCGGGCCUGCAGUGGGUACGGGCAGACUAGAGUGCGGUAGGGGAGACUGGAAUUCCUGGUGUAGCGGUGAAAUGCGCAGAUAUCAGGAGGAACACCGGUGGCGAAGGCGGGUCUCUGGGCCGUAACUGACGCUGAGGAGCGAAAGCGUGGGGAGCGAACAGG